GAACACUACUCCUCUUCCACCACGGCUACUGGUAAACUUACCCCCAAGUGCUUAAACACUUACUCUCCUGAACUGAGUACGCCUCCUGCUCCAAUCAUAGACUCAACCAAGACCGACACUAGCCAAAGUACGCCUGCUCCGAUCGUAGAGUCAACCAAGAAAGACAUUAGCCAAAGUACGCCUCCUGCUCCAAUCGUAGAGUCAACCAAGAAAGACACUAUCCAAAAGAAAAACCUUGGAUCCAAGUUG
rnacentral:lncRNA from 1 species